GAAACGGCUCCACUCACAACAGGCUGGGCCCUCCCACAUCCAUCACUAAUUUAAAAAAUGUUCUACAGGCUUGCCCGAAGCCCAACUCUUUUUUUUUUUUUUAACUUUUUAUUGAUUCUUUGAAAACUUUACACAGUGGGCUCCAGUUCCACUCAUACCCCUGUCUCUCUGUAUCUGUCUCCACAGUCCCUGGCUCUGAAAACUGGCAGAGGUGUCUCUGUGGGACUCACUACAUUCUGGAAUCAAGAGGCCUUGAAAUAACAUGUUUUCCGG
rnacentral:lncRNA from 1 species